AAAACUAUUAUUUCAAGGAUCAUUUCUAUAAUUCAUUAUUAUUAGAGAAGUUUCUCUGACCAUGCAGAGCACCUGAAACCACGAGAAGGAGCCAGAGCUUUCUCUCCUGAGCAGGAAGCUGGUUCUAGGAACUGCACCCUACCACUGAUGAUGGUUCUUCUCAUCCAUUGGAAGAGUAAGAGGGAGAAGAUACAGUAUGAGUGG
rnacentral:snoRNA from 1 species